UGCCAGCCGCCGCUGUAAUCCUGAUUGGGUUAUCGUUGUUCGGAAUUACUGGGCGUAAAGCGCGCGUAGGCGGAUUGGAAAGUUGGGGGUGAAAUCCCAGGGCUCAACCCUGGAACUGCCUCCAAAACUCCCAGUCUUGAGUUCGAGAGAGGUGAGUGGAACUCCGAGUGUAGAGGUGAAAUUCGUAGAUAUUCGGAAGAACACCAGUGGCGAAGGCGGCUCACUGGCUCGAUACUGACGCUGAGGUGCGAAAGUGGGGGGAGCAAACAGGAUUAGAUA
rnacentral:rRNA from 1 species